UGGGGAAUAUUGCACAAUGGGGAAGACCCUGAUGCAGCGACGCCGCGUGAGUGAAGAAGUAUUUCGGUAUGUAAAGCUCUAUCAGCAGGGAAGAAGAAAGACGGUACCUGACUAAGAAGCCCCGGCUAACUACGUGCCAGCAGCCGCGGUAAUACGUAGGGGGCAAGCGUUAUCCGGAUUUACUGGGUGUAAAGGGAGCGUAGACGGCACCGCAAGUCUGAAGUGAAAGCCCGGCUAGCCUAGGCACGAUGCUUUGGAAACUGUGGGGCUGGAGUGCUGGAGAGGUAAGCGGAAUUCCUAGUGUAGCGGUGAAAUGCGUAGAUAUUAGGAGGAACACCAGUGGCGAAGGCGGCUUACUGGACAGUCACUGACGUUGAGGCUCGAAAGCGUGGGGAGCAAACAGGAUUAGAUACC
rnacentral:rRNA from 1 species